UACGAAGGGUGCAAGCGUUAAUCGGAAUUACUGGGCUUAAAGCGUGUGUAGGCGGGCCGUUAAGUGUCUUGUGAAAUCCCCCGGCUCAACCGGGGAACUGCCGGGCAUACUGGCGGCCUUGAGAGACCUAGGGGCGAGCGGAACAAGCGGUGGAGCGGUGAAAUGCGUAGAUAUCGCUUGGAACGCCGACGGUGAAAACAGCUCGCUGGGGGUCUUCUGACGCUGAGACACGAAAGCCAGGGGAGCGAACGGG
rnacentral:rRNA from 1 species